UGGAAGUCGCUCCUGGGCUGUGUAAUCCCCGGCGAAGAAUGGCUGGAGGCUCGGGAUCGAAGCGGUCGUAAGUCAAGGACUUUCGAGGAUCGGUGGUGCGGCGGCGGCAGCGAUGGCUGGUCCUGAUCCGGAUGUGCUAGCCCCUGGUCUGUUGGAAAAGCCUGGCGGAGGUCGCGGAGCAGAUACACUUCUGGAAUGCAACAUGGACUCCUGGACAAAACCUUAUAUACCUGGGAGGCGGGGUCAAGGUAAGACUGGCACUGGGGACAGUGAAGCGACAGGCACAAAUGUAACUGCAGUUGAGAGGCAAAAAAGCUUCAGUUCUUAAAUUCACAGUCAACAUACCCUCAGUUAAGGCACAGAAAUGCUAUUUUUAAAAACAAGAAACAUUCCUGUAAAGUAAGCUCAUUACAAUGCAUUUUUAUGCUAGUUAGACAUGGAAUUUUUAAUUAUGUAAAACUAAACUUUUGAAUCCUAUAGCUGUUUUUUAAAACAAGCUCUGCUGGGGGUAUGAAUGGGAGAA